GCUAGAACAAGAAAGCCAAAGUGUCAUGUUUUGCCCCUAAAUUUCAUUUUGCAUAGUCAAUAAAUUAGAAAUGGCUAGUACGGUAAUACCUUUAAUAACAGGAAUGUGAAUUUUGUAAGCUAGCUAGGCCAUACAUGCACUUCCAUCUCUGUCAUACAAGUUGGGCAAACUUUGUGUUUGGAUAUGUACUGCACUAAUUGAUAUAGGUAAUUAUAUUCUUGAUGCUACACGAGGUUUGUCUCCUUUUAUCGCCUGCUAAUUGAUGAUUGGUGAUUAUAGUAGGGCAUGGAUGCUGAUUUAUUUAUUUUUUGCUAAGAGUUUGUAUCAUGUGCCUUUCUGUUCUCAUAGUGAAAUGACAAUGGUGCCAAUAUGGUAUAAGAAUUAUGAUGCUUUAAAUGCUGAUAGGGCCAUUUACGUCCUCUGAUUCGUUGCCCGAGCAGAUCUACAACAUCCUCUACUUCUUAACUGAUGAAGGCAAGCUGGGGACUGGUCCAUUUGCAAAAGCAGCAAUGCAACCACAAGCAAGCUGAGGAGGUGCCUCAAAGAUACACAAGUUGAUCUACAGGCUGCCCUGAAGAUUUGGGAGACCUACGACUAAGUUGGUGGAGUGAAAUUGUAAUAAGCCUUGUUUGUUGAACUUGGAGAUAUUGGCACGUUUUACGCUCAUUUUGUUUUUUGUUUUGGCACAUAAGUCACAAGUUUUACUCUCAUUUUGAUUGUGUUGCACAUCUAGAAACAUAUGUUCUUUUCCUUUUUGUUGCACGUCCUUGUAUAUUGUUGUCUCAUGAAUGUAUCAAAGGAAAAUACAUAUUUUGUCUAUUAUGUUUAUCGAAUGAAGUUUAAGAUUUUGGAUG